GGCAGGGGCGGGGAGCUUACCGACCUCCCGCCCCCGCUGCGCGCGUUUCUGGCCCUGCCAGUGUCUCCGCCGGUUGAAAGCGCGUGUCUGCGUCGGGUUCUGUUGGAGUGCGUUCGGUGUGCCGUGGGUCCGCGCUGCUUCCACCCAACUUCCUGUUAGGACCCACCCGAGGACGGGUCACCAUGGCUUUGGAGCACCUGGUAGUGUGGCAUGUCCACAGUGAAGACCAGAGUUUCGUUGUCCUUAAGACUGACCUGGGGAGACGUGGCUGCAGGCCAUUGAGGAAGUGAGAAACCUGGUUCCCACCAUCUGCGACUUAAUACGGCACCGAAAGCGAAGGAAGCUCCUGCUCCUCCUAAAGCCGAAGCCAAAGUGAAGGCUUUAAAGGCCAAGAAGGCAGUGUUGAAAGGUGUCCGCAGCCACACGCAAAAAAGAAGAUCCGCAUGUCACUCACCUUCAGGCGGCCCAAGACACUGCGACUUCGGAGGCAGCCCAGAUAUCCUCGGAAGAGCACCCCCAGGAGAAACAAGCUUGGCCACUAUGCUAUCAAGUUUCCGCUGACCACUGAGUGGGCCGGAAGAAGAUAGAAGAAAGCAACAUGCUUGUGUUCUUCGUGGAUGUUAAAGCCAACAAGCACCAGAUCAGACAGGCUGUGAAGAAGGUCUAUGACAGUGAUGUGGCCAAGGUCACCACCCUGAUUUUUCCUGAUAAAGAGAACAAGGCAUAUAUGUUCGACUGGCUCCUGAUUAUGAAGCUUUGGAUGUUGCAACAAAAUUGGGAUCAUCUAAACUGAGUCCAGCUGGCUAACUCUAAAUACAUGUGUAUCUUUUCACCAUAAAAGAAUAAUGUUUUUCAUAAGAGUGACAACUUAAUUAGAAUCAAAUCUAUAAGCUUUAAGAUUUUACAUUUCUGUAAGUAUAAUAUUAGCUUAUUUGACUAGAACUCAAGCAGAAUAGGAAUUUAUGUUUGUUUUAUAUUCAAGUGAUAACUUUGAAGACAUAGUUUUAUUACACCAAAAAUUUUAUAUUAAUCUCAUUUAAGUAAGUUUUAUCCAAAUCAUGUUAACUUAAAAAACAUUUGAUCAGUU
rnacentral:lncRNA from 1 species